rnacentral:rRNA from 1 species
CCCGCUGAACUUAAGCAUAUCAUUAAGCGGAGGAAAAGAAACUAACAAGGAUGCCCUUAGUAACGGCGAGUGAAGCGGGCAAAGCUCAAACUGAAAAUCGGUGCUCCACACGGGGCUUCGAAUUGUAGUCUAUAGACGCAGCGUCAGUAGUGACCCAGGUAUAAAUCUUUUGAAACAAGGUAUCAUAGAGGGUGAGAAUCCCGUCUUUGACUUGGAGUUCACUGCGUACGACCUGUGUUCAAAGAGUCGAGUUGCUUGGGAUUGCAGCUCUAAUUGGGUGGUAAAUUUCAUCUAAAGCUAAAUAACGAUCAGAGACCGAUAGCGAACAAGUACCGUGAGGGAAAGAUGAAAAGAACUUUGAAAAGAGAGUUAAAAAGUACUUGAAAUUGUUAAGAAGGAAGCGCUGGAAACCAGUCGUGCCGGUUGGCGUAUCAGCCCAUCCGUGGAGUAGAUGCAGUAAGCCGGGAGCCUUAAACCUCGGUCAGAGCGGAUACUACAUGGUAGGGACGCGCGUCAGCUGGUGAGUCAGAAUCGUUUUGUUUCGUGUGAGAAAGCUUGCGGGAAGGUAGGUUAGCGGGGGCAACUCCAAUGACUGUUAUAGCCUGCGAGUCCUAGCAUGGAACAGAUCGAGGAUUUCAACACGCACCACUAGGUUCGAUUCCCUGCCCCUGAGCUGUUAGCUGCGUUGGAUAGUAAAACUAUGCUCGUAGCGAAACGGCUUACUGGGUAGGAUGAAUCAGAUGCAGUGUUCGGGAUUCUGACGAAAUGGUUUUCAUCGACCCGUCUUGAAACACGG